rnacentral:rRNA from 1 species
AAAGAACUAACAAGGAUUCCCCUAGUACCUGCGAGUGAAGCGGGAAAAGCUCAAAUUUAAAAUCUGACAGUCUUUGGCUGUUCGAGUUGUAAUCUAGAGAAGUGUUGCCCGCGCUGGACCAUGUACAAGUCUCCUGGAAUGGAGCGUCAUAGAGGGUGAGAAUCCCGUCUCUGACAUGGACUACCAGGGCUUUGUGGUAUGCUCUCAAAGAGUCGAGUUGUUUGGGAAUGCAGCUCAAAAUGGGUGGUAAAUUCCAUCUAAAGCUAAAUAUUGGCGAGAGACCGAUAGCGAACAAGUACCGUGAGGGAAAGAUGAAAAGAACUUUGGAAAGAGAGUUAAACAGUACGUGAAAUUGCUGAAAGGGAAACGCUUGAAGUCAGUCACAUUAGCCGGGGAUCAGCCUUACAAUUUGUAUGGUGUACUUUCUGGUUGAUGGGUCAGCAUCAAUUUUGACUGCUGGAAAAAGACUUGGGGAAUGUGGCAGCUUCGGCUGUGUUAUAGCCUCAUGUUGUAUACAGUGGUUGGGAUUGAGGAACUCAGCACGCCGCAAGGCCGGGUUUCGACCACGUUCGUGCUUAGGAUGCUGGCAUAAUGGCUUUAAGCGACCCGUCUUGAAACACGGACCAAGGAGUCUAACAUGCCUGCAAGUGUUUGGGUGGAAAACCCAAGUGCGUAAUGAAAGUGAAAGUUGAGAUCCCUGUCAUGGGGAGCAUCGACGCCCGGACCAGAACUUUUGGGACGGAUCCGCGGUAGAGCAUGUAUGUUGGGACCCGAAAGAUGGUGAACUAUGCCUGAAUAGGGUGAAGCCAGAGGAAACUCUGGUGGAGGCUCGUAGCGAUUCUGACGUGCAAAUCGAUCGUCAAAUUUGGGUAUAGGGGCGAAAGACUAAUCGAACCUCU